rnacentral:lncRNA from 1 species
ACAUCAUCAUUUUUACCCUUAGUCUCUUUACAGCUAGUUCUAACAUGGGAUUAUUAUUAAGCAAUGUAACACUAAAAUGUAUAGCCAAAACUAAAGAAAAACUGAAACAACAUGCCUUUCGACUGAAUCUUUUAUCCACAUCAUCUCAAAAGUCCCAAAUCAAAUACAAUAAAACAAAUUCCACCAGCUAAACCAGAAAUUCAUUAAGAAGACAAUGAACUAAAGCUAAUAAAAAAACAUCAUACAACAAAGAGAUAGAACUGAAUUCAUAAAAUGGAACUGAAAACAUGUUUUGAAUUCUAGAUUUUCAUUUCAUUCUUCAAUUCAAGCUUCACCCGAGGUAGAACCAAAGAUUGUGUACCUGAUUACAGCAAAUGGAAACAAGUGAAAUAAGCUGAAAAGUGAAACAGCAAGAGUAGAAGCAGCAAUGAAAUAGUAACCAGCAAUAGCAAAGCUCAAACCCAGAUUUUCCAGUCCCAAAAAUCAAACCAUAUCUUCAGCAAAGCUCAAGCCAAGAAAUGCAGAAAAAUUCAGUGUUUUUCUCAAUUUCAACCGCUCGGUUUUUAGGAAUUUUUAUCUCUUCAUUUCUGCCUUGGGCUUGAAGAAAAGGAUCCCUUUAUAGGCUAGGUACUAGGGCUGCAGAAAUAAGCUAAGUUUUUGCACCUAAAUUCUUUUGAAAUUUUUAUUUUUGCUUAAAUGUCCUUGGCUUAAAAACUCAGUUUUCACAUAAGCCCCAAAGACAGCUUCUAGGAAGAUUCCCCCAGUUAGUUACCAGAGAUUCUUUCACCUAGAGUUUCUAAAUUACCCCUUGAAACCAUGUUAAUUACCCCAGAAAUCUUAUGGGUCAAAUUUGACCCAAAGAUUCUAACAAAAUCUGGGCUAAACCCUUUUCUUUGGCGUAGGUCCAAACAAGAAAUUCGGAAGAAUUGAGAAGGCAGAAAAAUAGAAGGGCAAUUCGGAUUUCAAUUAGACUUCUGAACCAAAUGCUCUCAAUCGGCCCAAAACUAAAAGGAACAGUCAAACAAACUAAACUAACGAAUUCAAACAAGACUGAAGAAGCUAAUAACUAACAUUAAUCCUAAAUUAAAAGAAACACGUGCAGAGAUAAUUUUGAGAAUAUAGAAAAAAAAAAGGAAAAUAGAAGAAGAUAUGAAAAGAAAUGAAAAUGAGAGAACACUGAAAUUACCUAUCAAACCAGACGAACACAAGUCUUGAACUAAUUAUCAAAGAAUCUUUGAUUUUUUUGGCCGAGAUAGACCUUAAUCGUGUGUUCUUGACUGAAAACCCACGACUAAAGUCGAUUUCAACCUCAAAUCUUCAAUUAAACUCACUAAUUUGAGUUUUGGGAAUUUAGGGUUCAUGUCUUCAAAUUAAGAUUUGAGGGGUUCAAGUUUGAUUCGAGGGAAACGGAGUGAGGAUUUGGAACGAGGGGGCCUAGGAGAUGUGUGGUGUUAAUUUGGGGUUAUUUGGGACCCGCGUUACCACCGGUGAAUGGGGAAAUUGAGGGUGACGCUCUAGGGUUUUCUGGUGUGGUCUCUGAGAGUGAAAAGAUGAGAGAGAUGAGACAGGGUGGGUGCAAGGGUUCAGACACUUUUAUAGUAAUACAGGCCUUAAUUCCGGAUCGUUAGAUCAAAAGAGAUAAAUAGUCCUGAUCCUAUCAAUUGAAACGGCGUCGUUUGGCUUAAUAGUGGGGCAGACCUAUUUUGGAAUGGGUUUUGGGCCGGUUCUAACGGGUUUAGCGGGGUAUUUUGGUUUGGGCUUGGGAAUUUCGAGACUUGGCCAAAAAAUCUGAAUUCUCCAAUUCCUUUCUUUUUCUUUUCUUUUACUUUUAUUCCGAAAUUCUUUUUUUUUCUUUUUCCAAUAUUAAAAAACACUAAAUUAAUUCUUAAUACAAAUUAUCGCAACUAACUAAAUACAAAAUUAAAGGAAAACUAACAAAAUUCAAAGCAAAAAAUUAAACCAUGCAAAAUAAAUCAUUCUUGUGAUUUUUAUAUUUUUAUAAAACACUAAUUACUAAUUAGUCUAAAAAAUGUAAAAUUAAACCUAAAUGAAAAUGCAACAUAUUUUUUUGUAUUUUUAUGAAUUAAAUAAAACAUGCACACAAAAUACAAACAAACAAGAAAAUUCUAAAAUAAUUCCUAAAAAUAAAAAAUAAUUAAAAGAAAAAAAAUCUAAUUUUGGAAUUCUGUAGGAGUAAUUCAUGUGAGGCAAAAAUCACGUGCUCACAGUUGCCCCUCUUUGCUCGGAGACACGAAGGGUUUUCGGGAAAAGAUAAAAUGAGCAAUCAAGAGGGAUUUUUGCCCGUUCGACACUCCAUGAGAAACAUUUUUGAAAAGAGUCUGAUCGAACCUUGCUUCAAAGGUUGCCUAAAUAUCCUUGGCUAUAAAGAAAUCAGGUUAGUGUAGUUCUGGAAGUUUUGGUAGAUGGGACUACCGGGAAGCUAUGAUUUCACUAUUGUUGCUACUGCUACUGCUUGCUGAACUCCUUAUUACACCAAAAUGGAAAAUAAAAAACUAAGCUAGCUAAGCAUAUCAACUACGAGUUACAAGAAUCCUAUCUAUAAAUCUCUUGAAGCUUGAUCUUGAGUCUUAGUUGGUUCUUACUGUGGACUCCGAUCUGAAUCUUGAUGCUCGUUAGAUGCAACUGCUGGUUCAUUCUUCAGUUUUUGGAUCGAGGCGGGACAUGCAAAACUUGUGACUUCAAUCCAGUUUUGAGCAAUCCGCAUCCUUAUCCACUUCGGCACUUUGAGUUCACUUCUUUUUGUUCUUUUUCCUCUUUUCUUUAUUCUGGAUUGAGACUUAUUCUUUUGUUCAUCUCUACUUUUGUGCCUCAAGAUCAACAUGCCCAAACACCAAUACAAACAAACGAACAAAAUUAUUCUGCCCCAAUUUUUACUACGAAAAUUUCGUGAGUUAUCUGCAACACAAAUCUAAGUUAUUUCUUUGAAUGCAAUAAAAAUUAGGAUUGUAUAUUCUAGAGAAUAGGGAGUGAAGCCCUAAAUUGGGAAGAUUGCCAGAUUAUGUUGGAAAGAUGACCGGAUUGUGCCAGAAAAGAAAAAGGGUAAAAUAAGGUCCCCGGGUUAUGCCGGAGAAAAGGAAAAAGGUCAUUGGGUUAUGCCGGGGAGGUCCACGGGUUAUGCCGGGAGAAAAGAAAAAAGGUCCUUGGGUUAUGCCAGAGAGGUUCGCGGGUUAUGCCGGGAGAAAAGGAAAACGGUCCCCGGGUUAUGCCGGGGAGGUCCACGGGUUAUGCCGAGAGAAAAGGAAAAAGGUCCCUGGGUUAUGCUGGGGAGGUCCACGGGUUAUGCCGGGAGAAAUGAAAACCGUCCCCGGGUUAUGCAGGAAGAAAAGAAAAGGGUCCCCGGGUUAUGUCGGGGAGGUUCCCGGGUUAUGCCAGGAGAAAAGGAAAAAAGGUCCCUGGAUUAUGCCAGGGAGGUCCACGGGUUUUGUCAAGAGAAAAGGAAAAAAGGUCCUCGGGUAUGCUGGGAGAAAAGGAAAAAGGUCGUCGGGCUAUGCCGGGAAUGUCCACGGGUUAUGCUGGGAGAAAAGAAAAAAAGGUCCUUGGUUAUGCCAGGGAGGUCCGCUGGAUAUCCCGGGAGAAAAGGAAAAGGUCCUCGGGAUAUGCCGGGGAGGUCCACGGGUUAUGCCGGGAGAAAAUGAAAAAUGUCCCUGGGUUAUGCCAUGGAGUUCCACGGGUUAUGCAGGGGAUAACUAGGGAAUGGGGCCCUAUCUUGGAAGGAUGCAGCUAGAGAUUGGAGGCCAUAUGCUACCAUGAUUUUGAAAUUUCCUUUUUUUAGUUUAAAAAAAUGAGUAAAAAUUCAGGAAAGAAUUUGAAGAAGACUUCCUUUUGGAUUGAUUAUUGCUGCAAAGCUAUUUCUAGCUCUUGCGAAUUUUCCUUUUGGUUGUACCUUCUUCUUGUAUGAUUGCUUUGGAUUGUACCUAUUUCAAUUUUUCAAACAAAGAACAAUUUGUUAGUUUGAAACGCUUGUUGGAUUUGUGGCCUUGGGCGCUUUAGUCACUUGAUUUCAACGCGGCUUCUUUGAUGAAGAUCUCAACUACAACUGCUUGUUUCCUGAGGACCGAUUUCAUUUCAGGCCAUGGAGAACCCCUUAUUUUUCUAGACUUUGCCAUACGAUUGGUCUGUGGAACUCAACCUUAUCGAUUUCAUUUUGUCCUCAUACGCCAUUCCCUUUUGACUCCUUUUUUUUACCCUUUUUUUUAACUUCGGAGCAUUGGGGAACCUUUGGCUCCUCAAACAUUGCAGCAAUGGCAAGUCGCGUUGGACUCCAACUUUGUUUCGCCUUCAUAGGCCUAUCAUUUAUGGAUUCUUUCUUCUGACUUCAAUUUCAGAGUAUUUGGGAUCCCUUGGCUUUUCAAAUCUUCGUCGAGACAGUUAGCCACGUAUGACUUAACCUUUUUCACAUUUAUUUGCCUUUAUAGGCACUUCAAUUUGAUUUUCUCCUUCCGAGAGUUUUGGUUUCGAAAAGGUCGACUUGAUGCACUCGAUGAGACUUGGUACUUUCUUUAGAUUUGGCUUUUAUUAAGCGGGACCCUGUAAAACCAAUCUUGCCAACUUUUCUUUGUAUUAGUUUCGGAAACAGAGUUAGACCGAAAGGGAUUCAAGGAAAAGUAAACAAAGGACAAAAAAAUUAAUUUAAAGAGAAGUGUCCCUUUCGGGGAGGAAAGGAGGACUUAUCUGGGGUGCAUGCAGACGUCAAUAGACAUGACAUGCUUCUUGACUAGGUGCCAAAUCCGCACAAACUAAUCCAACUUUUCAUAAACCCAUUGCGGCCCUUGUUUCAAAAUCGAGAAACCUUGCCAGGACUCUUUCAAUACCAAUGGUGUUGAGGGGUUUCUUUGUUUCGAUCAACGACGCCUUUUGCAGGUUUUUGCCAAUCGACCUCUCUCAUUUUUCUUCUUACCAUUGCCUUAUAGUGCUAUUUUAUGAGUUUUCACUAACAAGACUCUUUCAUUUUCAAUUUCUCUGCUCACCAUCGCAUCACGGUGCCCAUAGGUUUUCACCAAUAAGACUCCCUCAUUUUAUUUCUCUCAUUUUAACUGCAUCAGAUCUAAAUAACUGCGUUUUUUCCGAUUUUUUUUUGAAAACCUUUCGUCGAUUAAUCGGAAGGAUUUGAACAAGGUUUGGGGUAACAAGAAAUGGGAUAGAAUUACAACUUUGGAACAGUCCAGGUGGGAUCAUCGCCGAACCACUAUAACAUCUGCCCUAGUUUCACUUUCGGGGAGGGGGAACUAGAUUUUUAUUUUGUUGUGACUGAACCCCAGAGAGAGGCUGCCUACGUAUCCUUUCAGAAUCAAGUCGAACGUAGUUCAGGGAAAACAUUAUAUUUUUGUUUUUGUUUUUGUUUUUGUUUUUUGUUUUUUUAUUACAAAAUCUUCAAGUUCCAAAGAGGGUAAUGAAAGAAAUAUAACCAGCUCAAAGGGUUUAGUAAAAGAUUGGAGUGUUUGGGGGUAACGAGAAUGAAACCCUUCGUCAUACCAAUCAAGAAAUGCUAUUGUUGCAGAAGGUUUAGACGUAAUACCAUUUGACUGCAUCUGCAUUCACCUGCAUUCACAGCUGUUUCAGGGUCAUUCCCUUUAAUGUCUCCCAAAUACAAUGCCUUUUUUGGCAACAUUUUUCUAAUAAUGUAUGGGCCUUUCCAGUUGGGAGAAAAUUUUCCUUUUUCUUCCUGAUGAUGGGGGAGAAUACGCCUCAAAACGAGUUGACCCACUUCAAAAUUUCUAGGCCACACUUUCUUGUUGUAGGCACGGGCCAUUUUUUGUUGGUACCACUGCUCGUGGCAGGCCGCGGCCAUUCGCUUUUCAUCAAUCAGGGUUAACUGUUCCAAACGGGUUUUGACCCACUCACUGUCUUCAAUUUCAGCCUUAACAAUAAUCCGGAAAGAAGGUAUUUCUACCUCUGCGGGUAUUACGGCUUCAGUGCCAUAAACCAAUAGGUAUGGGGUUGCUUCGACCGAUGUGGGAACCAUAGAGCGAUACCCUAACAACGCAAAAGGCAACUUUUUAUGCCACUGUCUGGAACAUUGAAUCAUCUUUCUCAAAAUCUUUUUAAUGUUCUUAUUUGCUGCUUCGACGGCACCAUUGGCUUUAGGCCGAUAAGGAGUAGAGUUCGGAUGCGUUAUUUUGAAUUGUUCGCAUAUCUCUCUUAUUAAAUGACUAUUCAAGUUUGCAGCUUUAUCUGUGAUGAUGGUUGUAGGGAUACCGAAAUGACAGAUAAGAUUGGAGUGCACGAAAUCUACCACAACUUUCUUGGUGAUAAAUUUGAGCGUGAUUGCUUCAACCCACUUCGUGAAAUAGUCGAUGGCAACUAGUAUGAAUCUGUGUCCAUUUGAAGAUUUCGGCUCAAUCGGCCCAAUGACAUCCAUGACUCAAGCAACAAACGGCCAAGGUGCUGACAUGGGAUGCAGUUCUGUAGGCGGUGCAUGAAUCAAAUCACUGUGCACCUGGCAUUGAUGACAUUUCCAGACGAAACUAAAGAAGUCUUUUUCCAUAGUCAUCCAAUAAUAACCCGCUCGAAGGAUUUUCUUUGCCAAAACAUACCCAUUCAUGUGGGGUCCGCACGCUCCUACGUGCACUUCAUACAUGAUUUUUCCGGCGUCUUCGGCAUCCACACAUCUUAGCAAGUUGAGGUUCGGGGUCCUUUUAUACAAGACAUCACCACUCGAGAAGAAACCACUUGCGUGUCAUCUAAUGGUUCUCUUUUGGUCUCAACUGGCUUGCUCGGGGUAUUCUUUAGUUUUCAAAAAUCUUUUGAUGUCAUGAUACCAUUGCUAAACAUUUGGUUCUGCCUCAACUGUAUUACAGUAGCUGUGUCUUUCCCUGAUUUGAUUUUUCGAGGGAUCAAUGUGGGCAUUGCCUGGGUAUGGCAGCAUCGAGGCUAAAGUGGCAAGUGCGUCAGCUAGUUUAUUGUGGCAACUAGGGAUGUACCUGAACUCUAUUGACUUGAAUCGCUUUCCAAGAUCUUCCACAUGUUGCCUAUAAGGAAUAAGCUUGACAUAUCGGGUUUCCCAUUCUCCUUGAGCUUGUCAGAUAAUUAGAUCUGAGUGUCUCGUGACUAAUAGUCCUUCAACAUUUUGGUCGAUUGCCAUGUUCAUACCCAUAAUACAGGCUUCGUACUCGGCAGUGUUGUUCGUGCAGAAGAAUCGGAGUUGUGGCAGGAUAAUUCUGACCAGUGGGUGAGAUCAAGAUUGCCCCAAUUCCAACACCUUUUGUGUUUACUUCCCCAUCAAAGAACACUUUCCAUGAAUUGGUGUCUUCACAUAUUGCCUCAACUGAAUUUGUCACACCUCCUUUCUUCACUACACCCCGAAGAGGGUGUAUAUAAGGGAGUUUUUUCCAACUUAAAGUGACAAUCGAAAUGGGAUUAUUUAUUUGAAGAUUCAGAGUCGCCACUUGGGAUAAUUAAUGGUGUCCCAAGUCACCAGUUGAAUCCUGAAUCGAGGAAAAGCUUGACUCAGUUUAACAGUAUGCGAACCAGAAAUCUGAGUAAGGAAUUUUGUUAACCCAGGAGAAGGUGUUAGGCAUUACCGAGUUUUGUGGUUCUAGCACGGUCGCUCAACUGUUAUAUUCGGAUUAAUUAUCUGAUUUUAAACAAUUAUGAACCUAUGUGCAGAUUUUAGUUUUAACCGCCUUUAUUCAUUUGUUUUGAAGAAAAUUGCAACAUUAUUAAAACACAUCUCGAACCAAGUCACAUAAAUGCACCAGUGGUUUUUGACAUAUCGUAACAUCGUUGAGAUUUGGAUUUGGGCCAAAUAAAUGCGCACCCGAAUUUAGGAAAGUAAUAUUAUUAAAUGACGUGCCUAAAGCAACUACGCGUUUUAUGAAUAUUAAAGGCCUAAGCAUGCUCCUAAGGAUCCAAAAACACAUCCAUAAGCAAUGUCUAAACAACAUACAACUCCAAUCAUUACAAAAUUCAAUUGACAUUGUUACUCAAUCCCAAUAUCACUUUAGUCUAAUCCACUUUCAUGUUUAGCCCACAAAUCGCACAACUUAUUACUUCUCGUCAAUUUUCCAACUUAUAUUCUUGCAUCCUAAUUUCGAAACAUCUUCUUUUUACCAAAAACGUUUCUUAAGACUUGAUUCACCUUCAUGUUAUCAACUACAUGGAGCAAUUGCUCAAAACACAGUAAACUCCGCUAAGGCUACACACCAUAUCAACCACAAACUAUUUAAAUCAAACUCAGACAAUUUACACAAAAUUAAAUAUAUAAACACAGAAUCGUACCAAGAGCAAAGUAAAGAGCAUCAACUCACAUAAUCAGCCAAAUAAAAUUAUGAGCAGACAAGGUCGCUAAAAUUGGAAAAUGUAGGAACAUGGACCUUAAGACAGAAACUAACAAAGCUAAAAUGAAAAUUCAUCCAAAAUCUCAAAUCGUCACAAACUCAUGUUUUACUCGGUUCUUAAUUUCACCUUUUCGAACUCAGCGAAGACGUAUUCAAUAAAAUGAAGAGUGUCCAUUGACUGUCAUUAAUCAGUGAAAUUCCAUAAUAGUAACCGAUUACUUAUUCAAUUUCAGCAACUAGGCUCGACAUAAUUAUUGGAACAAAGCAGCCAUUCGAUAGUCACAUAUCAACGAAUCCACAUGAUCACACCAAAACAGAGCAAGAAAAACUGAGGGACGAGACUAACCUGAAAGAAUCUUUAAAAACAAAUUUCAGAAUCGAAAAUAACCUCGCCUCAAUCUCAAUACCCAAAUCGUAAACUCAGUCGGACUAAACGGUGGAAAUUCUGAACUCCACGGCCCCUCAAUCAGUUUCCAUGAAAGAACAGUCAAAACAAGACUGAAUCUCUUUUUUUCUUAUUUUUGAAUUAAACCAAACUAAAAAACAAACUAAAAUCAAAGAUGGAAAACCAAAAUCAGAAGAUUAAUUAAGGUUGAAUUAAGUGUGAAGAGGGUGAGGAAUGACUGAUUUUUUGGGGGAUAAACAGUGGUGAUUUGCUGCGCUGGUUCAGGGAGGUUGAAGAUGAAGGGGUGUCGCCGUUUUCCAGCCACUCGCCGGUGAGGUAGUAGCGGAACGAAGGGGUGAGGCGUGGGGUUUUCUGGUUUGUCGGUUCUACUGCUAAUGGCGUCGAUGGUCCGUUGAAGAAGAAGAGAGAGACGAUAUGGGUAGGGUUAUUUUGGUCGAAGAUGGCUGAUGAUGAAGGAUGAGCUCAAAGGGGCGGGGGUAUGUGAAGAAGACGAUCCGAAGGGGGGAGGGGUCAUGUAUUUGUAGCGCAGCUUUUGUGUGAAUAUGCGUUACUUUUUUUUUCUUUUAGAUUUUUUAAGCCUUACUUUAUAGAUAGAGUCUAGGUUUAGGUAUAUUUUUAUGUAUUUAGCCUAUUAGUCCCUAGAUCUUUUGUGUAUUAGGUCCUUAGGAACUUUUCAUUUUUUUUAUUUGUUUUUGUUCCAAAGAAGAGUCUAGAAGGGUCCCUAGGCUUAACGGACUAAUCCGAAUUGGG